rnacentral:tRNA from 1 species
GCGCAGUUAGCUCAGCGGUAGAGCAUCGCCUUCACACGGUGGGGGUCACAGGUUCAAUCCCUGUACUGCGCACCA